AUGAGUGAUGCCAAGUUCCCCGAUGCACAAUCGGGCGCAGAGCACGCGAUGGCCAGCACCAUGGCCGGGCUGGCCGGGCUGAACAUGGUCUAUGAGGCGG
rnacentral:ncRNA from 1 species